UAGCCUUGGAAGAUCUAAACUCUGCAACCAAAGAAAAGUAAAAUAUCACUCAUCACCUCCAACACCAAAAACGAUUUCGAAUUCAAAGUUUCAACCAAACAUUGAGUAAUCAUAUUUUCAUUAAUAAUCAAUUCACCAAUCAGAUCAUUAACAGAAAAUUCAAAAUUCAUUAAAACUCUGAGCUCAGUUCGGAAGUUGAAGGAACAAGAGAAAGAAAUGGAGAUCGAAAACAAGAA
rnacentral:misc_RNA from 1 species